rnacentral:rRNA from 1 species
AGAUCAAUUUGUCGGUCGUGCCUCGGUACGUACUGGCAUUAUUGAUUUCUCCCUUCUGAAGAACCGCGAUGUCAUUAAUUUGGUGUCGUGGGGAAUCAGGACUGUUACUUUGAAAAAAUUAGAGUGUUUAAAGCAGGCUCACGCUUGAAUACAUUAGCAUGGAAUAACGGAAUAGGACGUUUGAUUCUAUUUUGUUGGUUUCUAGGAUCGACGUAAUGAUUAAUAGGGAUAGUUG